rnacentral:rRNA from 1 species
CGGGUGAGUAACACGUGGAUAACCUACCUAUAAGACUGGGAUAACUUCGGGAAACCGGAGCUAAUACCGGAUAAUAUAUUGAACCGCAUGGUUCAAUAGUGAAAGACGGUUUUGCUGUCACUUAUAGAUGGAUCCGCGCUGCAUUAGCUAGUUGGUAAGGUAACGGCUUACCAAGGCAACGAUGCGUAGCCGACCUGAGAGGGUGAUCGGCCACACUGGAACUGAGACACGGUCCAGACUCCUACGGGAGGCAGCAGUC